CACACACACAUAUUUUAUAUCCUCAAUCGUCUACCACCUUUUAAUUUUUUUUUUUUUUUUGCAUCAACAACAUUUUGUCAUUUUCACUGGGAUAAAGAGGUGGUGUAAAAACGCCAGCAGAUAUAGCACCAUUUAGGGGAAUGUCACUGCCAAUACCAUUGGUUAUGAGUGCAUUUUUACAUGGAGAUAGUACAUCUCACUACAUAUUCAUGGUGUUUAGGUUGGAGCCACUGAAAUCAUUCCUAAGUUUAGAGUUCCCACGCUAAAAUAAAACUUCAAAAUAAUACUUUUGCUCAUAUUUUUUCUAUGCCUAACUUAGGUUCUCCUUGUUCUUCCAUGAAUCCAUGUUAACUGUUAGCUUAGCACUAUUACUUUUUUCAGUCUUAACAUUUACAUACUUGUUUGUUCUAUCCCUCCACCAUUCAUGUUUUUGGUUGACAUGUUAGCACAGAAAUUUUCCCCAGAGAACCGCAAGUGAUACGGUAAAUGAUGCAUCUCAAGGGAUCUCAUUUACCUGCAAUAACAUCUCAAAAUAUGGAGGAUUUAACUUAUGGGACAGUCAGCCUGUGCACAUAUUUCUGCUUGUGCUCUUGUGGAGCAAGCACUCGAAGAAGCCAAGAGAGAAGUGACCAUCUCCACGAGUUUCUCACAGAUGGUAAAUAAUUUUGGCUUACGUGGAGGAUAAGUUUUGCUUUCUGUCUCUAGAAAAGAAGUGCUUGUUUAUGCUAUACCAAAUUGCAAUAUUAGUAGUUAAUACCUUCUCAACAAUAAUAAUUCAGAAAUUUUCUGACAAAUACAAAUUUUCUUGGA